UGCAAGUCGAGGGGCAUCAGUUUGGUUUGCUUGCAAACCAAAGCUGGCGACCGGCGCACGGGUGAGUAACACGUAUCCAACCUGCCGAUAACUCCGGAAUAGCCUUUCGAAAGAAAGAUUAAUACCGGAUAGCAUACGAAUAUCGCAUGAUAUUUUUAUUAAAGAAUUUCGGUUAUCGAUGGGGAUGCGUUCCAUUAGUUUGUUGGCGGGGUAACGGCCCACCAAGACAACGAUGGAUAGGGGUUCUGAGAGGAAGGUCCCCACAUUGGAACUGAGACACGGUCCAAACUCC
rnacentral:rRNA from 1 species